CCGCGGCCGCUUUUGAUUCACGGGGAAGGGAGUGGAGUGAACUGACCCUGACCGCGGCAAGGAAAUGCUAGGUUAACCCUUUUAUGAGUAGGAAGGACAGGGACUAUUGCUUGUCUUGGGAACGACUUGUGUCCCGGUCCUGGUGCGUCCCUUGUUAAUUAAUCUACAUGAGAUCAUCCAAGUCACUGAGCCCGUCUUAUCAAGUCAGCUUCUAUAAAACAGAAACGAGAGAAAGCCUGUCUGCACAGUGAGAGAAUGAAACCAUUACAUUGAAAAAAACAGAGAAGAGAAAGAGGUAGAGACUUCAUCUGAUACAAGCAUGCCUGAAACAAGAGAUACCUGUAUGAUUCCAUCUUCCCAACUAGCAGGCAGUUCUUGUUGAAUUCAAGCAAGUUGAGACCAUCAACCCUUCAACUGAGCCUGCGUGGGUGCGUAAAGUGUGACCUUUUGAUGUCAAAGGCCCAAAACCUGCACCCUCCUUCCAUGCUAAUUCAGCCAUUUUCUGAACAUGCAUCCUAUGAAGAGCCAUGUAGCUCAAUUACACUUGCGCAGAAACCUUGAUUACCUCCCUUUCCCACCUGGCAAUCACCUUUACCCAUACUUCACACCAUCCUGCUUUCUAUCCCCAUAAUUACCCCAAGCCCUCUUUUCAGGGAGGUGGAUUUACGAUUUGUUCUCCUUCUUCUUGCUCAGCAGC